CUCAGUUUUAAAACGGCUUCGUUUGAACAACACGCGAUUACAUUUCUUGCGUUUUCCCGCUGGGUUUUCUACAGUUGUUAAGAAAGACUGUGAACUACGUUAAAUUUCCCCGCAGCAAAAAAAAAAAAAAAUCUUUUGGCCUCGCAACCAGGGUGAUGUACGGUGGGGAAAGGCUCGCUGUAUCCGAGACCCGCAGUGUUUUAUCAGCGUGAAAAUGGGAACCAACGCGCAGAUUUGAUGUAUUGGACGUGAUUAACAUUCCCUGAAUAAUUCAGCAGCUGAUCAUUCUUAGUAAUUUCGACGUCCACGACUCUAAAUGGACCGGCACCAGGCGCCGCUUUCCCCGGUUUACCGGCAAACUCGAGCAGUAUGGCGCCUUAAACUGAAGUUGCGAAGAACAAGAAGGCUACGAGGACUUAGAAUAUUUGAAGUGAAUGUACCUUCGUUUGAACUUUAAGUGAGCGGACUUCAGGGGACCCGAUGGACUCUCCUGACUUGUACAAAGUUUGCACCUGUUUUUGUAUUUUAAACGACUAUUACUUCACCUCUUUGUUGUAAAUAAAGAGUAAAACCAAAAAAACAA